rnacentral:misc_RNA from 1 species
AACGCACCUUGCGCCCUUUGGCAUUCCGAGGGGCACACCCGUUUGAGUGUCGUGACAUUCUCAAAACCUUCUUGGUUUCUUGACCGGGAAGGCUUUGGACUUUGGAGGCUUUUGCUGGCUUCCCUUUGUUGGAGCCAGCUCCUCUGAAAUGGAUUAGCAAGGUCUGCUUUGCCGAUCCUUGACGUGAUAAGAUGUUUUCUACGUCUCGGGUUCUGCACUCCUGCUUCUAACCGUCUCACAGAAGACAAAUGGUCAAAGUGAUUGCCACUUUGACCCACGAACCUUGACCUCAAAUCGGGUGAGACUACCCGCUGAACUUAA